GCAAACUUGGUCAUUUAGAGGAAGUAAAAGUCGUAACAAGGUAACCGUAGGUGAACCUGCGGUUGGAUCAUUAAAAAAUGACUUUGGUCUCGUACCAAAUCAACACCUGUGUGCACCCACUGUCUGUCUUUGGUAGUUCGAGUCGCCCUGCAAUGGAACUCAACAUUCCGGAAGGGGCGCUACCCGCCAACUGUCUGCGCUUCGGGGUAGACUGGAGGCAAUGGGUUGGGCUACCGCCUUUUUUGAACAAACCUUUUGAUUUUGUUUCUCAAGUCUGAACUUUAAGAGUUAAUCCUCACCGAUUAAUGAUUAAAAUACAACUUUUGACAACGGAUCUCUUGGCUCUCGCAUCGAUGAAGAACGCAGC
rnacentral:misc_RNA from 1 species